UGGGGAAUUUUGGACAAUGGGCGCAAGCCUGAUCCAGCCAUGCCGCGUGCGGGAAGAAGGCCUUCGGGUUGUAAACCGCUUUUGUCAGGGAAGAAACGGUCUGUCUUAGUACUGCGGACUAAUGACGGUACCUGAAGAAUAAGCACCGGCUAACUACGUGCCAGCAGCCGCGGUAAUACGUAGGGUGCAAGCGUUAAUCGGAAUUACUGGGCGUAAAGCGUGCGCAGGCGGCUUUGCAAGACAGAUGUGAAAUCCCCGGGCUCAACCUGGGAACUGCAUUUGUGACUGCAAGGCUGGAGUGCGGCAGAGGGGGAUGGAAUUCCGCGUGUAGCAGUGAAAUGCGUAGAUAUGCGGAGGAACACCGAUGGUGAAGGCAAUCCCCUGGGCCUGCACUGACGCUCAUGCACGAAAGCGUGGGGAGCAAACAGGAUUAGAUACCCCCGUAGUCCCUGAGCGGGCUGGCAAGGCGCAU
rnacentral:rRNA from 1 species